rnacentral:lncRNA from 1 species
CGGAAUGGUUACGGAUCAUUUAUUUAAUGGGUGUGGUAUGUUGAUUGGUUGAUUAUUAGUGAGAGUACUAUCUAUAGCUUUGUACUGCCCCAAAAUCCACUUGAUACUUUUGAAGAGAAAUUGUGAGAGCUAAGGGAUAACUAUGUUAUCUAAGCUUUUGUAGGGUAGUAGAUUGUAUAAGCCGAUAUUUGAGACAACCCGCAAAUGAGCUUGUGUAUAAUGCAUGUAUAGAAUCUAAGUUCUGUUAUCCCCUUUGAUGUCUUUGUUUGUUAAUGAUGCCCACAUAAAUUUGCAGGAAAUGUCAUUCUUAAAGGAUAUUCUCAUUGGUUCUGAAGCUCAUUUUGUGGUGCUAAUUGUACAGAGCUCAUCAAUAUUUUCAGGUGUGGAGUUGAAAUUUGCAACAUAUGUUUUCAUGUGUACUAGCCUUUGGUGACUCGGAUUGAAAUAAUUUUUGUAUUUCGACGAGAGGUUUGUUUGACUUAUUGGUGUGAAAUGGCAGAAUUUUUUGGAUAUACAGCAUGCAGACAAUUAUCGCAAAUGUUCAUAUCAAUAAUAUUCUUCCAUGUUUCCGAAUACAUUCUGGCACUUGCCAUUCAUGGGAAGUCAAACGUAUCUCUUAAGUCACUUUUGAUAAGCAAACAUUAUCUACUGGCAAUGAUUUGCUCCUUGAUAGAGUACCUUAUUGAACUCUAUUUCUUUCCUGGUUUAAAGGAAUAUUGGUGGAUAAGUAAUUUCGGCCUUGCAUUGGUUGUUCUUGGAGAAAUCAUAAGGAAGCUGGCAAUUGUGACUGCAGGCGUAGCCUUCACUCAUCUAAUAAAGGUUUAUCACGAGGAAAAUCAUCAGUUGGUUACACAUGGGAUCUAUAGAUAUGUCCGCCACCCUGGUUAUAAUGGUUUCUUCAUCUGGUCUAUCGGUACUCAAAUAAUGCUUUGUAAUCCAAUAUCAACCUUUGCGUUUGCAGUUGUUGUGUGGAAAUUCUUCUCUGGGAGGAUACCUUAUGAGGAAUUUUUCCUAAAGCAGUUUUUUGGUUCUGACUAUGAGGAUUAUAUGAUUGCAUUUGCAGUUGUUGUGUGGAAAUUCUUCUCGGGGAGGAUACCUUAUGAGGAAUUUUUCCUAAAACAGUUUUUUGGUUCUGAUUACGAGGAUUAUAUGAGAAAAGUUCCUUCUGGUAUUCCAUUUGUGAGGUGAUUAUUCAACAGAUCCUCUCACGGCCACUAUAUAUAUGCCAGCAUCCUUGUCUAUUGUGGUUUCCUCGUCUGAUCAUCGGUGCUCAGAUAAUCUUCUAAAUUCUAUACCAACUGCAGCAUCUUAGGAUGUAGUCUAGGAAUUUUAUUCUUAGACACUCUUAAGAUUCUCUGAGAUACCACUUCCGAAGUGAUGCUUAUGUUAAUCUCUGUGGAGUGUUUUUGUCUUAUUUGUAUCAUCAUGUUUCAUAGUAUCAUGUUAUUGUUAGGUAGCUAACUGUUCCUAACCUUUACUCAAUAUGUUGUUCGUGGUCUUUGAUAAUUGAUAGCCAAGGAUCCGUCUGAAA